UUGCAGGCUGCAACCCGCCCUGCAUGAAGUUGGAAUUGCUAGUAAUCGCGGAUCAGCAUGCCGCGGUGAAUACGUUCCCGGGUCUUGUACACACCGCCCGUCACACCAUGGGAGCUGGUAACACCCGAAGUCAGUAGUCUAACCGCAAGGAGGACGCUGCCGAAGGUGGGAUUAGCGACUGGGGUGAAGUCGUAACAAGGUAAC
rnacentral:rRNA from 1 species